GUAAGUAUACUUAGGCAGACCUGGUGUUUUAGUAGUGCCAUGCACCUGGGGUCCCGGAAUAAAACAUGGAAUUGCAAACAUGUGAUGUGCUGUGGAUGGCCGCAGACAGCCUCUUUGGUGUGGUAUCACUUGUCCUCAGUUAACCGUGGCCAAGACAGUCUCCAAGAACAACAUGGACCAGACCUGCAACCGUUGUGUCAACCUCACUAAAUGGGUCCCCCAAGGUGACCACAUGAAUCUUCUGGUUUUUUAUUUAUUUUUUCUUUUCUUUUGCCAUCCACGUGGGAUUGAUAGUGUUUUCAUGAAGAUUGGAUUUGAUGUUCAUAUCUGCUUGAACAACCAAAAGUUGUCCCAUGUCAAACAGCAGCCGCCCCAACGCCCCUCACCCACCGCUGUCACUGUAGUGCAGUAGAGCGUGUUUAUGGUGUUUAUGGUUUGACAUCUUCAGGCCAGCGGCAGCGUUGGCCACAGAAGCUUCUCCUGCAGCUCAGAGGAGCUCAGUGCAGAAAGAAAUCUUGGCAUUGCGUCUUUAAUCAUGGCUGCCCUUGGAGCCUCUCCUCACUUGCAGGGCUGUAAGCCAGGAGGAAGGAUGCUCUGCCUUGGCCAGCAUCUGAGCCUCUGCUUGGACAGGGUGGUACCUCACAUGGUUAAGUCACAGUUCAUGGUUUGACCCCUGAAGAGAGCAGCGUCUGGGAAGACGGCUUUGACCCGGGCGCUGUGCUUCAGCACGCGAGGACUAAGCUUAUUCUCACUGCCCACGUCUUCUGCCUUUUUGUUGUAAUUGCUCUUGUACCAACUCUAUAGUGCUUCUGCACUGGGUCCAGCCAACUAAUUGGGACAGCCUCAGCAUCCACAGCCAUUGCCUCUGCAGGGUCCCUCCCACCAUCCAUCAUGUGGAUCUUCUCUCCAGCUUCAGCAAAUGUUCUGCCUACUUUUCCUGUCCUACCUUCUCUUCCCCUGUCACAUUGCUCAACAGUAGAGUGUGAGUUCCUUGGCUUCACAGAAGCUGUUGCGGGUGACUUCAGGUCUACUGCGGUCACACCCAACUCUGGUUUGUGUGGCUUUCUCAGCAGCUUGGAGGCCAGUGCUCUCCUUUUUCACAGUUGUAUAGUACUUCCCCUUGAAGUUCAGUUUUAGGGUUUUUGUCUGUUUUUGUUUAAAGACAGGGUCUUGGUGUACAGCCCAGGCUGACCCCAUAUUCCUGACCUGUCUGCCUCAGCCUCCUGACUAUCAGGGUUGCAAGCAUGAAGCCUCAUGCCCAGCUCCAGGUGUUUCGAGUGAGUUCCUUUAUUCAGAGCAGAUAGAGAACUGAUAAGCCAACAUAUUAGUUAAGGUACCCCCAAUACACCCACGGUCCCACACUUGACACGGGGUACCUGCUUUGAGCUCCGUCUCUCUGGGCGUGUAGUUGGCCAGUAGAUAGCACAGGGCUAGACUUACAUUACAAAUUAAAAUGUGAGACAUUGUGGGAAAGUAUUUGAAAGUAGUCUCCCAUUCUUUAAAUACUGCUUAAAAGGAAAUACUGUUUCCAGCUAGGUGUGGUAGGAUAUGCCUGUGACCCCAGCAUGUGGGAGGUAGAGGCAGGAGGAUCAGGCAUUUAAGCCAGGCUGAGCUAUAUAUUAAAUAUACACACACACACACACACAUAUAUAUUAUAUUAUUAUAUAUUUCUGUUUCAAGUAAUAUUCCUUUAGUGAUCUCACUGCUGGAGGUUUUUGAAUGCUUAAUGAGUAAUGUGUUUAUUUAAUGCUGACCUAAGAUGCAUUUUUCUCCCCCCAAAAAAAAAACCCAAAAACAAAAACCUCUGUAGAUUAACCACAGUGGAACAUGCACUCUAUGUAAUUCUUUCGCAGAUGGGAUUAAGUAAUGUCUUGGAGUGGGCCCAGUAGCAGCCCACAUAGAACACAUUAGCCAGGAAAGAAUUGCUUGAAGCCAAGUACCUAGAACAUUGCCGUGAGCCUGGCCCCUCAGCAACACCAGCCUUGAAACCCUGCUGCCUAGGCGUGGGCUUCACAGCUUGGAAACUCAUUUGCUUGAUCCAGAAUUACAGCAUUAGCAUCAUUUUUAAAUGCAUUCAAAGGUAUAACAAAAUAUAAAAUAAAAUUCAAAAGAUGCCAUUCCUUUUGUCAGGCUGCAUUUAGAACAGGAAAAUGGGAGACCAGAAAAACAGGAGAGGGCGUAAGGAUGCGGACUUAGGAAGGGCCAAUUUAACUCAGAGCAGGUAUCUGCUACAUAGUAACUAGUCUAUGCCUGUUUGAUCCCAAAUGAUCUCUUUAGAAAUUUAAUCCCAGCACUUGGGAGGCAGAGACAGGUGGAUUUCUGAGUUCGAGGCCAGCCUGGUCUACAAAGUGAGUUACAGGACAGCCAGGGCUACACAGAGAUACCCUGUCUCCAAAAACC
rnacentral:lncRNA from 1 species